rnacentral:rRNA from 1 species
UAGGGAAUAUUAGAAAUGGACGAAAGUCUGAUCUAGUAACACCGCGUGUGCGAAGAAGGCCUUCGGGUCAUAAAGCACUUUUUGGAAGGAAUAGGAAGGAAUGUACUUUCAGAAUAAGUCUCGGCUAACUACGUGCCAGCAGCCGCGGUAACACGUAGGAGGCAAACGUUAUCCGGAUUUACUGGGCGUAAAGCGCGUGUAGGUGGUACUGUAAGUAGGGCGUGAAAGCUCCUGGCUCAACUGGGAGAGGCCGUUCUAAACUACAGAACUAGAGGAUGGUAGAGGGAGGUGGAAUUCCAGGUGUAGCGGUGGAAUGCGCAGAUAUCUGGAGGAACACCGGUGGCGAAGGCGGCCUCCUGGACCAUUCCUGACACUCAGACGCGAAAGCUAGGGUAGCAAACGG